UUCGAGUGGCGGACGGGUGAGUAACGCGUGGGUAACCUGCCUUACACAGGGGGAUAACACCUGGAAACAGGUGCUAAUACCGCAUAAGCGCACAGGGCCGCAUGGCCCGGUGUGAAAAACUCCGGUGGUGUAAGAUGGACCCGCGUCUGAUUAGCUUGUUGGCGGGGUAGGGGCCCACCAAGGCGACGAUCAGUAGCCGGCCUGAGAGGGUGGACGGCCACAUUGGGACUGAGACACGGCCCAAACUCCGUACGGGAGGCAGCAG
rnacentral:rRNA from 1 species